UACGUAGGGUGCGAGCGUUGUCCGGAAUUAUUGGGCGUAAAGGGCUCGUAGGCGGUUUGUCGCGUCGGGAGUGAAAAUCCAGGGCUUAACUCUGGACUGGCUUUCGAUACGGGCAGACUAGAGGUAUGCAGGGGAGAACGGAAUUCCUGGUGUAGCGGUGAAAUGCGCAGAUAUCAGGAGGAACACCGGUGGCGAAGGCGGGUCUCUGGGCCGUAACUGACGCUGAGGAGCGAAAGCAUGGGGAGCGAACAGG
rnacentral:rRNA from 1 species